CGGGCUGUAGUGUAACGGUAACACGCCUGCAUGGGGUGCAGGAGAUUUUCCGGGUUCGAAUCCCGGCAGCCCGA
rnacentral:tRNA from 6 species